UAGGCGUAAAUAGAUGCGAGUUAAGUGUGGGGGCGAUCUACGAGAUGGCCCUCGUGCUGUAGGGUAGCCGUUAAACUCGCUGCCUGGGGAGUACGGUCGCAGGGCUGAAACUUAAAGGAAUUGGCGGGGGAGGCACCACAAGAGGUGGAGGCUGCGGUUCAAUUGGACUCAACGCCGGGAAGCUCACCGGAUAAGACAGCGGAAUGAUUGCCGGGCUGAAGACUCUGCAUGACUAGCUGAGAGGAGGUGCAUGGCGUAGACGUCU
rnacentral:rRNA from 1 species